UACAGAGGUCCCAAGCGUUGUUCGGAUUCACUGGGCGUAAAGGGCGCGUAGGCGGCUUUAUAAGUCGGGGGUGAAAUCUCGGAGCUUAACUCCGAAACUGCAUUCGAUACUGCCGUGCUUGAGGACUGGAGAGGAGACUGGAAUUUACGGUGUAGCGGUGAAAUGCGUAGAUAUCGUAAGGAAGACCAGUGGCGAAGGCGGGUCUCUGGACAGUUCCUGACGCUGAGGCACGAAGGCCAGGGGAGCAAACGGG
rnacentral:rRNA from 1 species